ensembl:lncRNA
UUUUCAUGUAUUGUUUUCUCUUUAUUCAACCUGACCGCCUCCCACAUAAUAUUUCAUGACCCUAAACCCGCCGCCCUGUGGAUAUAACCGCGGGACUGCUGCUUAUGAGUCAAUGCAUCACUAAUGUGUGUUACAUCUCAAUGAUUUGACCCUAUGUCUGUACAGAUUAUUGUGGCCAAGCCCAACAUCCUUCUCCCUCCCUCUGUGAGUGCCCUGAAGAAGGCAUCACGCCUGAUGGAGUUGGUCCCUACUGUCCGGCCCUGCAGGGAGCAGCUGGACAAGAAGACACAGUGGACCAACACCAACGAGGAGAGCCUGAGGAGGAUUAAAAAACUGGCCUCCAUAGAGCUCGACCUGGAGGAAGGCCUGAACAAGGUCAACGACGGUCAGGACAUCAACCAAGAGAGGCAGAAGAAUGAGGGAUGCUUCAGAGCCUGGAUUGAGAAGUGGAUGGGGAGGAGGAAGGAGGAAAGACUGAGGGAUGAAGAUGUGAAUAGGGAAGACAAAGGGAGGAUGGGCGAGGAAGUGAGGGCACUGAUCCAAGUGAUGAAGAGAAACUGCAGUGAAAGUGAUCUUGAGGCAGUAAACCUGGACAGUUGGCUGAAUGACUUGGAAAGGUUGAAAGUGGCCUUCAAGAAAUGCACUGGAGAGAUGGCCGAAAUGAGCCCAGGGAAAGUCUCUGGUCCUGUGUCUGGCCUCUCUCCUCUUGUGACCUCAGCACCCCGGACCCUGGCUGAAGCCCUACAAGCCCUGCCCUCUGCUGUGGCCCGUCCCUCCCAAAAGGAUGUCCCAAAGCCUCCGACACCUCUAAGCCCUGUCUCUGUCAUUGUUGCUUCGCCUGCUGUGGAGUACUUACCAUACCACCGCAGCCCUCGCCUGGCCCCAAUCACCAACCUGAGUGAGAACGGCAGGAAGCUGCUCCAGAAAAUGUCAGGAGUGACGCCACAGGAAGGGAAGGUCAAAAGGAAAAAGACCAAGGGAAAAAAGCAAGUGAAGAAAGAGAAGGCCAGUAAGAUGCAGCAGGUGGAAAAUGUUGGAGAAAGUAAGGAGGACAAGAAAGAGGAAAAGACGAGUCUGAGGAAGAGGUUUCUCCAGUGGCUGCUGCCCAAACUGAGAUGUUCGAAGAAAUAAUGGCCAACUACUACUACAGCACACACACAUACUAUUGAUAUUGGUCUCAUUGUUAUAUUUUGAGACAUGCACCAUUCUUAAAAAAAUAAAAAAGACCCAAUAAUUAUAUUGGUUCCCAUACAGCCUACUAGGGUAGCGUAUGAUAAUGGGUUGGAUUUACAUAGCGUGUAGUUAUCAGGCUUGGAAAUAUAGCCAGGAGAUGCAGGGUCAACACCCCUACUCAUGUCAUAAGUGCCAUGAGAUGUUUAGUGACCACAGAGAGAUAGGACCUCUGUGUGCAGGGCAGUGUCUGGCAUUGGGGUCUUAGGUCUUCUUUGGCCAAAGGGAAGUGAAGAGGGCCAGUAUGAGAGAGCAAGAACUUUCUUAGCAGAUAAUGAUAACAUGACAACAGUAGCU